GCCCCGAUAGCUUAUGCUAAAGCACUGGUCUUGUAAAUCAGAGACUGUAGACUGACCUCUACUCAGGGCU
rnacentral:tRNA from 1 species